rnacentral:misc_RNA from 1 species
GAUGAAGAACGUAGCGAAAUGCGAUACGUAAUGUGAAUUGCAGAAUUCAGUGAAUCAUCGAGUCUUUGAACGCACAUUGCGCCCCCUGGUAUUCCGGGGGGCAUGCCUGUCCGAGCGUCAUUGCUGCCCUCAAGCACCGCUUGUGUGUUGGGCCUCCGUCCUCCUCCCGGGGGACGGGCCCGAAAGGCAGCGGCGGCACCGCGUCCGGUCCUCGAGCGUAUGGGGCUUCGUCACCCGCUCUUGUAGGCCCGGCCGGCGCUUGCCGACACAUCAAUCUUUUUUCCAGGUUGACCUCGGAUCAGGUAGGGAUACCCGCUGAACUUAAGCAUAUCAAUAAGCGGAGGA